rnacentral:rRNA from 1 species
UCGAGGGGGCCAACGGAAGGAU